AAAAUUACCCCUCAUUCCUGAAUGUGCUCUGACAUCGUUUUGCAUACAAACCUGGCAACGCUGGUGUUGGAGGACAUAUCAAGGAGUUAAUAUUUACUUUGAUUUGAUGCAGAACAAAUCCCCACACAUUGAGGACACAGAGGAGAUGAGGAAUAAGAAACAGUCUGAGGAAGAGUCAGGGGAGAAAGCUGUAUUAAUGCACAGGUGUGGAAGUCUUCAAGGGAUUCCUCCAUAUAUGAAUGAAGGAACCAGAGAUUCAAGUACAAGAGCUCUUCCUUGGAGAGCACUGAGGCUAUUGAGCAUACAUUUCAUGAAAUACUUACAAUGGCAGUAGUCAUGACACAAAAAGAUGCCAUACAAGCUCACUGACUGACCAACUGUCCCUUCAGAAGUGCAUUAUUGAGAUGUGGAUCAGUUUAUGCUCAUCUCCAAGUUGGCAGACAUGGACGCAUGGUCAAGGUUGUUGAAUUGACUGGAAGAGAUUUUAAGACAUUCUUUGUUGACUAAAUCGAUAAAAUUGAACGUUGUCACAAUAAUUAAUCUUUGCCUGUGAUCCGAUUUUCAUCACCAUCAUAGUUUAUAAUGAAGAACUCAAAGCAGAGUUUGUCAAAUUUACAUUUCAUUUGCAUAAAUAUAUCAGUGCUUAUCUCUCACUUUCCAUCUCUGUUAUUUCAUCAGUUGUAAAUGUAUUACUUUUAAUAUUAUUUCACUGAUUUUUUAUUUUUUAUAUGUGAUGUACUGUAUUGUUAUUUUUUUUUUCUUUAUUUGUCAUGCUUUGUGCUGAAAAUGUUGAACAUAUAUAGUUUAAAUUAAACUUUCCCUUUAUGCAAACUGUUGUAAAAAACAUGUAAAAAAAGAUUUUCUUAUCUGUGGUUCUAGGGGUCACUUUUCACUCAAGGUUCAAAUAAGCUGUGGGACACCAUCUUACAUUCUAAUUCUAAAUGAAAUGACUGAGUGGUGGAAAAUAAUUAACAGGUAAUGAGGCAGUCUUGACCUUCUACUAUACAUGCAAAUGUAAAAAUGUAGGGAUGCAAAUAAAUUUAGAUGAAUGCAACAUACACCAUAUGGCCAAAAGUCCAACGUCAGCGUCUGACCUCACAAAUGCUCUUUUG